GAGCCAUUAGCUCAGUUGGUAGAGCAUCUGACUUUUAAUCAGAGGGUCGAAGGUUUGAGCCCUUCAUGGCUCACCA
rnacentral:tRNA from 1 species